rnacentral:rRNA from 1 species
AGUGAACGCUGGCGGUAGGCCUAACACAUGCAAGUCGAACGGCAGCACAGUAAGAGCUUGCUCUUACGGGUGGCGAGUGGCGGACGGGUGAGGAAUACAUCGGAAUCUACUUUUUCGUGGGGGAUAACGUAGGGAAACUUACGCUAAUACCGCAUACGACCUACGGGUGAAAGCAGGGGAUCUUCGGACCUUGCGCGAUUGAAUGAGCCGAUGUCGGAUUAGCUAGUUGGCGGGGUAAAGGCCCACCAAGGCGACGAUCCGUAGCUGGUCUGAGAGGAUGAUCAGCCGCACUGGAACUGAGACACGGUCCAGACUCCUACGGGAGGCAGCAGUGGGGAAUAUUGGACAAUGGGCGCAAGCCUGAUCCAGCCAUACCGCGUGGGUGAAGGAGGCCUUCGGGUUGUAAAGCCCUUUUGUUGGGAAAGAAAAGCAGCAGGUUAAUACCCCGCUGUUCUGACGGUACCCAAAGAAUAAGCACCGGCUAACUUCGUG